GACCCUGGGGGGGACACACAGAGCUGGGGACAUGUAUGGGCAGAGCCAAGCACGGGCAGGUGGCACAUAAAGCCAGGCACUGCAUGGCUGUUUGGGGACACACAUGGCCAGGGGCCGCGAGUGGGCGCAGUCAUGCACACUGAGGUGACACAGCCCUCUUGGGGACACAUGGAUCCAUCCCUUGGGGUAGCGUGUGUGUCACAGGGACACACUGGGCACCAGUUUGCCAUGGGCAGCUCCCAGUCUGGGAUGAAGGACUGGGGGGGGGAUCCAACAGGGUCCCUGGGACCCCCCCUGUCCUCAUGUCCCCCACAGGCAGAGCUUUGUGGGAUGGCACAGAGCUGCUGGAUUCUGCCCCCCCCCUCCUCCCCCCUGGGCACGAAGGGGUUAUAGGGCCACACCAGCUGUGCCGUGCAGAUGUGAGAUAUGCAGAUGAGGCCAUGCAGGUUCUAUAAAGCGGGUGCAGCAGCAGCACCCCACAAAGCAGCGGGGUCACCCCGAGAGGUGCUGCUCAGCACGCUGCCCGCCGCCCUGGGCUGGAUAUCAUCAUAUACUGUAAGUUCACUAUGAGACACUACAGUAUAGAUGAUGUACUCCCCUGGGCUGCACCCGACCCCGAGAGCUGCUCUGUGGGACUGCGGUGUGGGGCGCAGGGGGGUCGUGGGGCACCCUGAGGAGCGGAUGCAGCCAAGGACACAUGGCUGGCAGGGAAACCGUUACCAUUACUGAGUUUAGUAAUGGUAACGGUUCUGCUGACGGCCAGGCAUGCAGCGAGGAAUGGGUUGGUGUGGGUUGGUGGUGUGGGUUCAAUAAAGUCAGAGAUGGCACAGA